AGUUUGAUCCUGGCUCAGAUUGAACGCUGGCGGCAUGCUUUACACAUGCAAGUCGAACGGCAGCGCGGGGCAACCUGGCGGCGAGUGGCGAACGGGUGAGUAAUACAUCGGAACGUACCCAGAAGUGGGGGAUAACGUAGCGAAAGUUACGCUAAUACCGCAUACGUUCUACGGAAGAAAGUGGGGGAUCGCAAGACCUCAUGCUUUUGGAGCGGCCGAUGUCUGAUUAGCUAGUUGGUGAGGUAAAGGCUCACCAAGGCGACGAUCAGUAGCUGGUCUGAGAGGACGACCAGCCACACUGGGACUGAGACACGGCCCAGACUCCUACGGGAGGCAGCAGUGGGGAAUUUUGGACAAUGGGCGCAAGCCUGAUCCAGCAAUGCCGCGUGAGUGAAGAAGGCCUUCGGGUUGUAAAGCUCUUUUGUCAGGGAAGAAACGGCUGGGGCUAAUAUCUCCGGCUAAUGACGGUACCUGAAGAAUAAGCACCGGCUAACUACGUG
rnacentral:rRNA from 1 species